AGGUUUGGUUCAUUCUUAUUUGGCAUUCUCCAAAAUCAAAGAGGCUCUGCAUGCUGCCAGGGAGGCAAUGAAGGCCAUGCCUCAAUCUGCAAAGGCUCUAAAAUUAGUUGGUGAUGUACAUGCUAGUAACUCUGGUGGCAGAGAGAAGGUAAACCUGUGACAGGUGGCCAAAAAGUUUUAUGAGUCAGCACUGCGGCUGGAACCUGGUUACCUUGGUGCUGCAUUAGCUUUGGCUGAGCUUCAUGUUAUUGAGGGCCGAAAUGGAGAUGCUGUGUCCCUACUUGAGCGAUAUCUCAAGGAUUGGGCUGAUGACUCUCUUCAUGUCAAGCUGGCUCAAGUAUUUGCUGCCACAAAUAUGCUGCAAGAGGCUUUGUCACAUUAUCAGGCUGCAUUAAGGUUACCUACAUUUGUAAUUCCAGACUGCAAUAGAGCAUAGAUCUUUAGCCUGAACGUAU
rnacentral:misc_RNA from 1 species